UCCCUGGUGGCUCAGUAGUAAAGAGUCUGCCUGCAAUGCAGGAGACUCGGGUUCAAUCCCUGGGUUGGGAA
rfam:Ovis aries breed Texel chromosome 9, whole genome shotgun sequence.